GGCAGGACCAGCCACAAUUAACUAAAAAAAAACUAAAACUUGGAAAAACAAUCGAGUGAGACAAAAGAGGAUUAUUGUACGAGAACAAAACCACCUGCUCGGACGAUAUCGCCGUCGUCUUCCUCCUCCCCUUUGGGCACCGUGACCACCAAUUCACCGUCACUAAAACGGGCACUAGCCAGUUCCGGCAGAGUUGUGGCCGGAAGCCGAAAUCGCCACAAGUCGAGGUCCAAUGAAGAAUCAAAAACGUUAUCAGCUCGGAUAACAAUCUUAGUAACACCCGGAUAGAUCUCAACUAUGUGAGCUCUAAUAUUAUCGCCGACAUCAUCUGUUGGGAUGACAAAUCGCAACGAAUCAGAAGUUUCGUGGAUUGAAACAUCAGAAUCGGAAUGAAAAGGAAGUUCUAGAACCUUGGCAAAAAUAUGAGGUAGUCUCCG
rnacentral:misc_RNA from 1 species